rnacentral:tRNA from 1 species
GCCUGGGUGGCUCAGUCAGUUGAGCAUCUGACUUCAGCUCAGGUCAUGAUCUCACUGUUCGUGAGUUCGAGCCCCGCAUCAGGCU